rnacentral:rRNA from 1 species
UACAGAGGGUGCAAGCGUUGUUCGGAAUCAUUGGGCGUAAAGGGCGUGUAGGCGGUUUGUUAAGUCAUGUGUGAAAUCCCUCGGCUCAACCGGGGAACGACGCAUGAAACUGGCAAGCUAGAGUACCAAAGAGGGGGGUGGAAUUCCCGGUGUAGCGGUGAAAUGCGCAGAUAUCAGGAAGAACACCCGUGGCGAAGGCGGCUCUCUGGGACGGUACUGACGCUGAGACGCGAAAGCGUGGGGAGCGAACAGG